rnacentral:tmRNA from 1 species
CUUGCUGCUUAAUCGAAGUAUAGUAGAUUAGCUUAAUUUCGGCACAAGGUGCUGAAACAAGACAUCUCUCAGAUGCCAUCGCGCCGAGGCGGUCUGGUUCAGAGGUGCUAUAAAUUCGGGGCUGGUUGUCAGUGGCUGUGCACUGUCAAUGAGAUUUUAGCAGAUAAGGCGACAGUUGGUGGCUUCGGUCUUGCUGUCGUUCGAAAAUCAAGGCGAAGAUAAGCAUGUAGAAAGCGUAUUGCUUCCUCGUUCGGACACGGGUUCGACUCCCGUCAGCUCCACAA